UUGUCCUGGGUUUAGCAGUAGCAGUCAUUUUUCUCCUUCUUAGUAGCUGGUGCAGCGCUGUGUUUUGACUUUCAGCCUGGGAAUAUUGCUGAUAACACUGAUGUUUUUAGUUGUUGCUAAGUAAUGCACAGCUACAGGUUGGGCAGGGAAGAGAUUCAAAGCAGCCCUGUGGAGAAGGACUUGGGGGUGCUGUUCAAU